rnacentral:tRNA from 1 species
UGCCAGAUCGUCUAACGGCAGGACAGAAGCCUCUGAAGCUUCCUAUCUAGGUUCGAAUCCUAGUCUGGCAG